rnacentral:tRNA from 1 species
GUGGUCGCGCGAAAUCCCUGCUCAGCGGCAAUUUCCGACAUCGGGCGACACGAGACGAACACCUGUUUGCCUGCUUUGGGAGCAGGAGGUCGGGGGUUCGAAUCCCCCCUCCCGACCCCG